GAUGAACGCUGGCGGCGUGCUUAACACAUGCAAGUCGAACGAUGAAGCCCAGCUUGCUGGGUGGAUUAGUGGCGAACGGGUGAGUAACACGUGAGUAACCUGCCCUUGACUCUGGGAUAAGCCUGGGAAACUGGGUCUAAUACUGGAUAUGACUUCUCAUCGCAUGGUGGGGGGUGGAAAGAUUUAUUGGUCUUGGAUGGACUCGCGGCCUAUCAGCUUGUUGGUGAGGUAAUGGCUCACCAAGGCGACGACGGGUAGCCGGCCUGAGAGGGUGACCGGCCACACUGGGACUGAGACACGGCCCAGACUCCUACGGGAGGCAGCAGUGGGGAAUAUUGCACAAUGGGCGCAAGCCUGAUGCAGCGACGCCGCGUGAGGGAUGACGGCCUUCGGGUUGUAAACCUCUUUCAGUAGGGAAGAAGCGAGAGUGACAGUACCUGCAGAAGAAGCGCCGGCUAACUACGUG
rnacentral:rRNA from 1 species